CCCUGCUCACGUGACGCCUUUCUGUGCGCUACCUCUGCUCUCAGAUCUCUGUCCCCGGCGAGUGCGGGCAUCACUGAAGAUUUGACACCGGCGGAAUCGGACGUCCACUGUCCUCGGCAGAACUAACCAGGUGUUCUCUUAUGCAAACCGCAUCGCCAUCAGAUGAAGCUGACCAGCCGGUCGAUGGCCAUGAGUCCUCUCCGCGGGAGGAACAGACUUUUUUCCGCGCCCAAACGACCGAAGAGGCGCAGAUCCGAGACAAUAACGCCCAGAAGUUAUUGAAAUGAAUCGAGCUGGCACGUGAAGAAAAAAAUCGAACGAGCGCCUUCGCCGCAGAGGGAAGCACGGGAAGCAGAAGAGCAAAUUAGGAAAAGACGAGCAAUAAAAGAGAGGUCCAGACUUGAAGGACGCAUUGCAUUCACACACACACAUGCAAAGGCACCGAGUGUCUGUCUGCGGUGUACCAGCUCACUCCACACGAGGGCAGCAGAUAAAGAGGGAGUCGCCAUUCCAGCUGUGAGGAGGCGGAAGAAGUCGACACACACACACAGACAUACACACACACACACACAUACACACACACACAAACACAGAGCUGGAGGCGCGUGAGCAGGUGAGCAUUAAGUCUGGCAGCUAAACAGAUCACGUCGCGGUAUGAUGUCUGCAGACAGAGGAGGCCGGUCUGUACCUGCAGGCAGAGCAACAACACACAGCACACUCGCCAGGAAUGUGCUCCCCCUCCUGAGAAGGGAGAGGGGGAGAGAAAGAGAGAGAAUAUUUGAUUAGAAGCAGCAGCGAUGCAUUUAAUAAUGAAAUCAUUAGAGGCGUGUAUUUCAGCCCAGCAUCUCAUAAAAAAGGUUUUAAAACAGGAUUUAUUUAGAUUUAUGUUUAGUUGUUUCACCCAUAUGCAGCAAAGUGCAAUAACAAUGUUUGUGUUGGUAAAGAACUUUAAAUAUUAAUAAAAAUUAGCUAACAAUAAAGGACGUUCUUUUCAUCUUUCUCUUUUUUAACACGUAGUUUUCAUAUUCAACCCAGUUC